AUUGAACGCUGGCGGAAUGCUUUACACAUGCAAGUCGAACGGCAGCACGGACUUCGGGCUGGUGGCGAGUGGCGAACGGGUGCGUAAUGUAUAGGAACGUAUAUAAUAAUGGGGGAUAACUAGUCGAAAGAUUAGCUAAUACCACAUACGACCUAUGGGGGAAAGCUAGGGAACUUCGGGCCUGGCGUUAAUGGAGCGGCAGCUAUCUGAUUAGCUAGGUGGUGAGGUAAAAGCUCACCAAGGCGACGAUCAGUAGCUGGCCUGAGAGGACGACCAGCCAGACUGGAACUGAGACACGGUCCAGACUCCUACGGGAGGCAGCAGUGGGGAAUUUUGGACAAUGGGCGAAAGCCUGAUCCAGCCAUUCCGCGUGAGUGAAGAAGGCCUUCGGGUUGUAAAGCUCUUUCGCAAGAGAAGAAAACUUACCCUCUAACAUAGGGUGAGGCUGACGGUAUCUUGAUAAGAAGCACCGGCUAACUACGCGCCAGCCGCCGCGGUAA
rnacentral:rRNA from 1 species